GCGCAUGUAGCUCAGCGGUAGUAGCGCCGGUUUGUGGAACUGGAGGUCGUGGGGUCACAACCCACCAUGCGCACCA
rnacentral:tRNA from 1 species